rnacentral:tRNA from 1 species
GCCUCAGUAGCUCAGCUCGGUAGAGCAACGCUCUUGUAAAGCGAAGGUCAGCGGUUCGAAUCCGCUCUGAGGCU